GAAACAUCUUCGGGUUGUGAGGUUAAGCGACUAAGCGUACACGGUGGAUGCCCUGGCAGUCAGAGGCGAUGAAGGACGUGCUAAUCUGCGAUAAGCGUCGGUGAGGUGAUAUGAACCGUUAUAACCGGCGAUUUCCGAAUGGGGAAACCCAGUGUGUUUCGACACACUAUCAUUAACUGAAUCCAUAGGUUAAUGAGGCGAACCGGGGGAACUGAAACAUCUAAGUACCCCGAGGAAAAGAAAUCAACCGAGAUUCCCCCAGUAGCGGCGAGCGAACGGGGAGGAGCCCAGAGCCUGAAUCAGUGUGUGUGUUAGUGGAAGCGUCUGGAAAGGCGCGCGAUACAGGGUGACAGCCCCGUACACAAAAAUGCACAUGCUGUGAGCUCGAUGAGUAGGGCGGGACACGUGGUAUCCUGUCUGAAUAUGGGGGGACCAUCCUCCAAGGCUAAAUACUCCUGACUGACCGAUAGUGAACCAGUACCGUGAGGGAAAGGCGAAAAGAACCCCGGCGAGGGGAGUGAAAAAGAACCUGAAACCGUGUACGUACAAGCAGUGGGAGCCUCUUAAUGGGGUGACUGCGUACCUUUUGUAUAAUGGGUCAGCGACUUAUAUUCUGUAGCAAGGUUACCGAAUAGGGGAGCCGAAGGGAAACCGAGUCUUAACUGGGCGUUAAGUUGCAGGGUAUAGACCCGAAACCCGGUGAUCUAGCCAUGGGCAGGUUGAAGGUUGGGUAACACUAACUGGAGGACCGAACCGACUAAUGUUGAAAAAUUAGCGGAUGACUUGUGGCUGGGGGUGAAAGGCCAAUCAAACCGGGAGAUAGCUGGUUCUCCCCGAAAGCUAUUUAGGUAGCGCCUCGUGAAUUCAUCUCCGGGGGUAGAGCACUGUUUCGGCAAGGGGGUCAUCCCGACUUACCAACCCGAUGCAAACUGCGAAUACCGGAGAAUGUUAUCACGGGAGACACACGGCGGGUGCUAACGUCCGUCGUGAAGAGGGAAACAACCCAGACCGCCAGCUAAGGUCCCAAAGUCAUGGUUAAGUGGGAAACGAUGUGGGAAGGCCCAGACAGCCAGGAUGUUGGCUUAGAAGCAGCCAUCAUUUAAAGAAAGCGUAAUAGCUCACUGGUCGAGUCGGCCUGCGCGGAAGAUGUAACGGGGCUAAACCAUGCACCGAAGCUGCGGCAGCGACACUAUGUGUUGUUGGGUAGGGGAGCGUUCUGUAAGCCUGUGAAGGUGGCCUGUGAGGGUUGCUGGAGGUAUCAGAAGUGCGAAUGCUGACAUAAGUAACGAUAAAGCGGGUGAAAAGCCCGCUCGCCGGAAGACCAAGGGUUCCUGUCCAACGUUAAUCGGGGCAGGGUGAGUCGACCCCUAAGGCGAGGCCGAAAGGCGUAGUCGAUGGGAAACAGGUUAAUAUUCCUGUACUUGGUGUUACUGCGAAGGGGGGACGGAGAAGGCUAUGUUGGCCGGGCGACGGUUGUCCCGGUUUAAGCGUGUAGGCUGGUUUUCCAGGCAAAUCCGGAAAACCAAGGCUGAGGCGUGAUGACGAGGCACUACGGUGCUGAAGUGACAAAUGCCCUGCUUCCAGGAAAAGCCUCUAAGCAUCAGGUAACAUCAAAUCGUACCCCAAACCGACACAGGUGGUCAGGUAGAGAAUACCAAGGCGCUUGAGAGAACUCGGGUGAAGGAACUAGGCAAAAUGGUGCCGUAACUUCGGGAGAAGGCACGCUGAUAUGUAGGUGAAGCGACUUGCUCGUGGAGCUGAAAUCAGUCGAAGAUACCAGCUGGCUGCAACUGUUUAUUAAAAACACAGCACUGUGCAAACACGAAAGUGGACGUAUACGGUGUGACGCCUGCCCGGUGCCGGAAGGUUAAUUGAUGGGGUUAGCGGUAACGCGAAGCUCUUGAUCGAAGCCCCGGUAAACGGCGGCCGUAACUAUAACGGUCCUAAGGUAGCGAAAUUCCUUGUCGGGUAAGUUCCGACCUGCACGAAUGGCGUAAUGAUGGCCAGGCUGUCUCCACCCGAGACUCAGUGAAAUUGAACUCGCUGUGAAGAUGCAGUGUACCCGCGGCAAGACGGAAAGACCCCGUGAACCUUUACUAUAGCUUGACACUGAACAUUGAGCCUUGAUGUGUAGGAUAGGUGGGAGGCUUUGAAGUGUGGACGCCAGUCUGCAUGGAGCCGACCUUGAAAUACCACCCUUUAAUGUUUGAUGUUCUAACGUUGGCCCCUAAUCGGGGUUGCGGACAGUGUCUGGUGGGUAGUUUGACUGGGGCGGUCUCCUCCUAAAGAGUAACGGAGGAGCACGAAGGUUGGCUAAUCCUGGUCGGACAUCAGGAGGUUAGUGCAAUGGCAUAAGCCAGCUUGACUGCGAGCGUGACGGCGCGAGCAGGUGCGAAAGCAGGUCAUAGUGAUCCGGUGGUUCUGAAUGGAAGGGCCAUCGCUCAACGGAUAAAAGGUACUCCGGGGAUAACAGGCUGAUACCGCCCAAGAGUUCAUAUCGACGGCGGUGUUUGGCACCUCGAUGUCGGCUCAUCACAUCCUGGGGCUGAAGUAGGUCCCAAGGGUAUGGCUGUUCGCCAUUUAAAGUGGUACGCGAGCUGGGUUUAGAACGUCGUGAGACAGUUCGGUCCCUAUCUGCCGUGGGCGCUGGAGAACUGAGGGGGGCUGCUCCUAGUACGAGAGGACCGGAGUGGACGCAUCACUGGUGUUCGGGUUGUCAUGCCAAUGGCACUGCCCGGUAGCUAAAUGCGGAAGAGAUAAGUGCUGAAAGCAUCUAAGCACGAAACUUGCCCCGAGAUGAGUUCUCCCUGAGACUUAGAGUCUCCUGAAGGAACGUUGAAGACGACGACGUUGAUAGGCCGGGUGUGUAAGCGCAGCGAUGCGUUGAGCUAACCGGUACUAAUGAACCGUGAGGCUUAACCUU
rnacentral:rRNA from 1 species